rnacentral:rRNA from 1 species
GAUCAUGGCUCAGGAUGAACGCUAGCUACAGGCUUAACACAUGCAAGUCGAGGGGCAGCAUGGUCUUAGCUUGCUAAGGCCGAUGGCGACCGGCGCACGGGUGAGUAACACGUAUGCAAUCCACCUGUAACAGGGGGAUAACCCGGAGAAAUCCGGACUAAUACCCCAUAAUAUGGGCGCUCCGCAUGGAGAGUCCAUUAAAGAGAGCAAUCUUGGUUACAGACGAGCA